rnacentral:rRNA from 1 species
UGGGGGAUAUUGCACAAUGGGCGAAAGCCUGAUGCAGCAACGCCGCGUGAGGGAAGACGGUUUUCGGAUUGUAAACCUCUGUCUUCGGUGAAGAAACAAAUGACGGUAGCAGAGGAGGAAGCCACGGCUAACUACGUGCCAGCAGCCGCGGUAAUACGUAGGUGGCGAGCGUUGUCCGGAAUUACUGGGUGUAAAGGGAGCGCAGGCGGGGAGACAAGUCAGCUGUGAAAACUAUGGGCUUAACCCAUGAACUGCAGUUGAAACUGUUUUGCUUGAGUGUAGUAGAGGUAGGCGGAAUUCCGAGUGUAGCGGUGAAAUGCGUAGAUAUUCGGAGGAACACCAGUGGCGAAGGCGGCCUACUGGGCUCUAACUGACGCUGAGGCUCGAAAGUGUGGGGAGCAAACA